rnacentral:rRNA from 1 species
AUUGAACGCUGGCGGCAUGCCUUACACAUGCAAGUCGAACGGCAGCACGGGGCAACCUGGUGGCGAGUGGCGAACGGGUGAGUAAUGCAUCGGAACGUGCCAUUGAGUGGGGGAUAACGUAGCGAAAGUUGCGCUAAUACCGCAUAUUCUGUGAGCAGGAAAGCGGGGGACCGCAAGGCCUUGCGCUCUUUGAGCGGCCGAUGUCAGAUUAGCUAGUUGGUGAGGUAACGGCUUACCAAGGCGACGAUCUGUAGCGGGUCUGAGAGGAUGAUCCGCCACACUGGAACUGAGACACGGUCCAGACUCCUACGGGAGGCAGCAGUGGGGAAUUUUGGACAAUGGGCGCAAGCCUGAUCCAGCCAUGCCGCGUGAGUGAAGAAGGCCU